rnacentral:misc_RNA from 1 species
GAUGAAGAACGCAGCGAAAUGCGAUAAGUAGUGUGAAUUGCAGAAUUCCGUGAAUCAUCGAAUCUUUGAACGCACAUUGCGCCCCCUGGUAUUCCGGGGGGCAUGCCUGUUCGAGCGUCAUUUCAACCCUCAAGCUCUGCUUGGUAUUGAGUCCAUGUCAGCAAUGGCAGGCUCCAAAAUCAGUGGCGGCGCCGCUGGGUCCUGAACGUAGUAAUAUCUCUCGUUACAGGUGCUCGGCGUGCUUCUGCCAAAACCCCAAUUUUUCUAUGGUUGACCUCGGAUCAGGUAGGGAUACCCGCUGAACUUAAGCAUAUCAAUAAGCGGAGGA